rnacentral:rRNA from 1 species
AGGACCCGUCUUGAAACACGGACCAAGGAGUCUAACAUGUGCGCGAGUCAUUGGGACUGCAAAGCCUAAAGGCGCAAUGAAAGUGAAGGUCGAUCUUAGCGUCGACCGAGGGAGGAUGGCUCGCGUUACGAUGCGAGCUCGCACUCCCGGGGCGUCUCGUGCUCAUUGCGAGCAGAGGCGCACCCAGAGCGUACACGUUGGGACCCGAAAGAUGGUGAACUAUGCCUGGUCAGGACGAAGUCAGGGGAAACCCUGAUGGAGGUCCGUAGCGAUUCUGACGUGCAAAUCGAUCGUCGGAACUGGGUAUAGGGGCGAAAGACUAAUCGAACCAUCUAGUAGCUGGUUCCCUCCGA